CCCCUAGGCAAGCAUGCACGUACAAAAUCGUAAGAUAAAAAAAUAAGCAUAUCACUGUAAACUUUAAAAAAUCAGUUUAGUGAUAUGCUUAUUUAUUUCGAGUUAGGAUUUAUGUCCCAAGCUCAUCAAGCACAAUCGGCCACUAGUUUAUUUCUCUAUCUUAUAUGUUCUGAUAUGGUCUUCUAUACUGUAUAAGUAUACUUUUGAAUAUGGAUCUUGUGUCAAUUCACGUUCGAAAUCAAAUUCUUG
rnacentral:sRNA from 1 species